ensembl:lncRNA
AUUCUGCAGUGGUGAAUUAUAGGCAUGAGGCUGCAGCUCUUCACUUUCUUACUCAUAACUAAAUCAGAAUCCUUUUAAGUUUUAAUUAAUCUGCUUAGCUUUCAUUGUGAGGGAGUUGGGGAGUGGGUACAUAAGGCAGAUUAACCCUUAAAUUCACAAGUACUUCCACGGUGUCUCCUCUUGGGUUAUUUUUUUCUUAAGCACCUGAGGGAGUAAGCAUUAUCAGGCUGACGUGGGGGCCUAUUAGACAUUGAUAUAUAUAUAUAUAUUAAUUUGACAGUGUCUGACUAGUCCUCUCUAUUUCAUUAUCAAAAACCAAUUAAUUUUCUGUAAAAGCAUCAAAUUAAUUACAAAAUAAUAUGGAAAUAUAAAGAAUGGAGGAAUUUCCCUCUCCUCUCCUCCUACCCUUGCCUCAUUAUGGGAAACAUGUUGGGCCCCUUGGCAGCAAAGCCCUAUUAAAGAACUACAGACCGUCUAGCUCCUCAUUUAAAAUUCUGUUGGCGGUGUCAGGAGGCCUAUGUGAUAAGAGUAAGUCCAUUUCCACCCACAGGGAUAAUUUCCCUAUUCCCUGGCAUAGAAAAAUACAGUCACAAAAUCAUUAGAAAUCAGGCUGGAAGACACUUCAGGAGAAUGUCCAUGACAUCUACCUGUUCACCUAAGUGUUCAGGCAUGGACACACUACAUCCUUUCCAGAUUAUCUUUGAUAACAUAGAAGAGACAAAACCCUGAUAGAGGAAGACAGUGCAGAGGAAUUUGAACACAAUGUCUAUAUCUCCAUCACCAUCUUUACCUGCAUAGAAACUAUAGGAGGUGAAGCUGAACUGGACUGUAUGAGGUCCUCUACUUCUUAAUCAAAGCAAGAUCAACCAUAUCUGAGUCCUUUCUGCAGCUGCCUAACCUACCCUGUUCUCAAAAACUUCCAGGGAUGGAUAUUCCAACACAUAUUUUUCAAGAAAACUCCUCUACCACUUUGCUUUCCUUCCCCUUUCUCCUAAUAUUUAGAUGUUAGGAAUAUGAUACAUGGAUACUUUCGAGAAAAAUAAGAAACAAGGCAGAAUCAGAAACAUGUUUUUUCUGUGUGUGUUAAUCAGGUUUACUUUAUGCAAUGCUUGUUCUGAAAACACAUAGAUCAUGGCUACUUUUACACACAGAAUGGUCAGCACUGAAGAAGCAAAACCGAAUUCUCACAUAUGGACCAAAGAUGGCAUUUUUAAUAUAAAAACAGCCCAGCUUUUAACCUUCAUAUAUACUGAAUUAUUUCUGGGAUAGAAACAAGUGCAAAAAAGUUAUGGGGGGAAAGAAAAUAGAGGAGUAUUCUUUUUCUUGCCUUGCAGGACUGAAUGAUGCUUGAUUGUAAAGAUUUUGGCAUGUUUAGGAGUGUUUCUGGAGACAAUUUUGCAUUUCUCUUAAAUGAAGGGAUCUCUGACAGCCAUUCUUUUUUUCCUUUCAGAGAUCAUGUGAUUAACAAAUACAGAAAUUUUCUGUAUUUCCAUUUUUUGGCAUAAUCUGUAUGGAGCUGUGAUCUGGGUGGAGCACAGACAUGGGCAGUGGUUUAACUAGCUGUCUGAUUGGUCUUCUGUCACAGUAUCAGAAGCUUCUGAAGCAUUGUUUUGGCUCUGGCGGACUCAUACUUCUCAUCUUCUCUCUUGCCCUCACCUAAAUGAAAUAAAUCAGCAUCUUAUUGCUUUUCUCUAGAGCUGAAUGCUCUGAUUCUUGCAGAAGCAGCAUUAAUUUUAACAUCAGUAGUACUUUGCCAAAGAAUAAUGAAUAUACCUGGUUCUAGCUCCCAAACUCCCAUAAGAGAAAUCAGAUACAAGGAUGAAAUCAAAGGGUCUCCCAGGCUUUUUCUCCAUCCAUUGAUCUUCUUUGCAUUUUCAAGGAAGCAAAUUUCAGUAGCUUAAAUAAAGGGCAUCUUGACAACCAUUUAUUUUUGCUUUCCCUUCAGAGCUUUCACAGUUAAUAAACACUUAACAUUU